UGUCAUAGACCUAGAAGGACUCAUUACUGCAGCCGACCGUGCGUGGCCCGGUUUCUCCCUUGGCAAGCUGCUGUGGGUCGCUAAGGAAGUCUGGUGAAAUGCUCAGGUCACCUCUACCCUUAUUGGAGAAGUAGUCAAUGCUGUGGACAUCAUCACCAAUUCCAUCAACAUCUUAUCUUCAAAACACUCAAUUUCUUGGACGUUCCAGUAGGACACAGUUUGCCCUGACCAUCGUCAUGGACUCCAGUCUUCAACUAGGUGUGGCACCCCUUGUGCCUUUCUGCUCACGUCUUGUCAAGACCUCAGCUACGUGGUGAAUCAGCACCAGGAUAUUUCAUCUAUUAGAAGAGACAUCAGAGGAAAACUGCUGCUCUUGACCUCACUGGAAGAGACCUUACCGGGUACUAGUAAUAACAAGUACAGCAAUGAAAUGCCAAGGAGUCAAUGCUCGUGUUCAUGUUUAACAAUUGAAGAAAUAAUUCAGAAUCCCACAUAAUUGGAAGCCUACUCCACUAGGAUCCAAAUUGAGGCUACUCAGAAAUCUUAGAGACACAGCUGAUGUUUAGAAGAAGAAACUUGACCUAAUAUCUUUGGAACAAGCAGAUGACUUCAGACAAUGGACAGCUUUGAAGGAGGAGUAAUAAAAUGGCCGCACUUAGGCUAACACAUUGCUUAUUUUUAUGCUUGCCCUUAAAACGCUCAACUGAUCUGACCAGUUGCUACUCACAGUUCCAGGCCCACUGUUAAAACUAAAGCUAUUGAUCUUACUAUUUCUACUUUAUUCAAAAGCUAUAAUCAUGCUUGGUCUCUGCGUCAAUUUCCAGGGAGAAGGUCACAGGACUGUAAUCUUACAGAAUAGCCUGAAUUACCAAGAAGACCACACCUUGAGUGCUUACGAGAUAAAGAGAUCUAACCCCUGGCCUCUAUAAAAUUGGUCGCCUGGAGGCAUCAUGACGCCAUUCUGUCUUCUGAUAAGAAAAUGGUUCUGUUGAUCGUUAUCAAUGCAUUAUUGUUUGAGCUCUGGCUGUAUAACCACCCCACCCCAUCCCCAAGGUGGGUUCACAGUUUUGAAGGCACUAGCCUGCUGUGAGUCCCCUUUG